rnacentral:rRNA from 1 species
CAGUUCGGACUGUAGUCUGCAACCCGACUACACGAAGCUGGAAUCGCUAGUAAUCGCGAAUCAGAAUGUCGCGGUGAAUACGUUCCCGGGCCUUGUACACACCGCCCGUCACACCAUGGGAGUCGGGAAUGCCCGAAGUCAGUGACCCAACCUAUAGGAGGGAGCUGCCGAAGGCAGGUCUGAUAACUGGGGUGAAGUCGUAACAAGGUACC